AUCUGCGAUCAUACCAACAUUAAUGCACCGGAUCCCAUUAGAACUUCCCAGUUAAGCACACUUGGGCUAGAGUAGUACUGAGAUGGGUGACCUCCCGAGAAGUCCUAGUGUUGCACCCU
rfam:Picea glauca, whole genome shotgun sequence.